rnacentral:lncRNA from 1 species
GGAAGGAACACUGAAGUGACUUGUCCAAGGUCAACCUGCAAGUCAGAAAUAGCAGAGCCAGGGACAGGAGGGAGCUGGGGGAGCAGGUUUCCUGACACUAAAUCCAAGGCAUUAUACACAGCGAAACCUACUUGCAACAGGCAACUGACAGCACGGGAAAGUUACUGGGAACCUAACCACAGUCAGGGAAGCCACAGAAAGCCUGACCUCUUGGGGCUGGGGCUAUGGGAUGGCAGAGUUAUCAGAUUUCAGGCUGAAUGCUAGAGGCCAUUCUGUGUGUUUAUAGCUAAGUGGUCAUAGAUACAGAGAGCUAUAGUGCUAGGGCUAAGAGUUUGUCACAUUGUAAGCAAUAAAUGCAAUACUUUGCACCUAGAAAUUGCCUUUCAUCUAUGGAUCACACAGUACUUAUAUAGAUAAAGUAACUGGGGGCUCUCUCAACAGGUCUCUGCUAAGCGGUAUGAAGAGGGAGUGGAGAAAGCUCCAGCAAGAGGUAACAAACAACUUUAAACCCAGGCAGCAACUGUUCCUCCAGACCAACGCCAUCCUUUUCUCCUCUUUCGCCUGCUCUGAGUUUGUCAUUAUGGGCCUCUUUUUCUUGCUGAUUCAUGGUGGGGAAGAAAGAGGACAAGGGCAUAGGAAAAGCAACAGGAGGGACCUGCUACUGAGAAGCUUUGGCAUAAGAAUUGACAACUACGGAAAGAUGGAAGAUGGGAAGAAGAAAAGAAAGCUCCUGGAGAUAUAACUUGAAUUUGACUUGACAGUCUUUACUCAAAAUGAUUGAGAAACAUGAAUGCCUCUUAGAAGAAAAGGUCAAUUCUCCCUGUUUUGUAGAGUCUGUAAAUAGAAGGCCCACGGGAUCGUGCAAAACAAAGUUGAGGGAAACCAGAGUGUCGUGGUGCCUUGCAAGGGUUUAUGACAACUUUGUCCCUGCAAUCUCACAGAGAUACAUGUACCCAUCCUUCAAAAUAG